CCUACGGGUGGCAGCAGUGAGGAAUAUUGGUCAAUGGCCGGAAGGCUGAACCAGCCAUGCCGCGUGAAGGUCAGUGCCCUUUGGGCGUUAAACUUCUUUUGUGCGGGAGCAAUAAUGGUCACGUGUGGCCAGACGAGAGUACCGUCAGAAUAAGCAUCGGCUAACUCCGUGCAAGCAGCCGCGGUAAUACGGGGGAUGCAAGCGUUAUCCGGAUUUAUUGGGUUUAAAGGGUGCGUAGGCUGUGAGGUAAGGCAGCGGUGAAAUGCCCCCGCUCAACGGGGUGAAGUGCCAUUGAUACUGCCUUGCUGGAAUGCGGAUGCGGUGGGAGGAAUGUGUGGUGUAGCGGUGAAAUGCAUAGAUAUCACACAGAACACCGAUUGCGAAGGCAGCUCACGAAUCCGCGAUUGACGCUGAGGCACGAAAGCGUGGGUAUCAAACAGGAUUAGAUACCCCAGUAGUC
rnacentral:rRNA from 1 species